AAAUUGAAGAGUUUGAUCAUGGCUCAGAUUGAACGCUGGCGGCAGGCCUAACACAUGCAAGUCGAACGGUAACAGGAAGAAGCUUGCUUCUUUGCUGACGAGUGGCGGACGGGUGAGUAAUGUCUGGGAAACUGCCUGAUGGAGGGGGAUAACUACUGGAAACGGUAGCUAAUACCGCAUAACGUCGCAAGACCAAAGAGGGGGACCUUCAGGCCUCUUGCCAUCGGAUGUGCCCAGAUGGGAUUAGCUAGUAGGUGGGGUAACGGCUCACCUAGGCGACGAUCCCUAGCUGGUCUGAGAGG
rnacentral:rRNA from 1 species